ACUUUUAAAAUUUGAGUAUAUUGAACGGGCCAAAAUGGAUGCCGUCUUUGAUAUUUCAGUUAAUCGCCGGCUAAGUCGGCGAUUAAUUUUACUGCUUAUUUUGUUUUCACCCAUUCGUAAUAAAAAUGCCAUAAGCUCUUUCCAGUCCUCUUCUGUGACGGCUGCGGCAAAAAUAAAAUUGAAAAUUUAUUGUCUUUAUGGGAAUGGUCGUUGCUAAAGCUGUGCCGAAGAGACAUCCCCUCCCCAGAGACAACCUUUGGCUUCUGCAAAAAAAAAAAAGCAGCUCUGAAGAUGAUGCGAAUUUUUGCCGCCGCUUCUCUGAUGUCUCCUCGAUGUCUUUCUCUUGGGUUUGACGUUGAAAAAAUUCAAUAUUUUGACAGCAUUGUGUGUUGAGUUAUAGAACUGAAUUAAUUUGUCAAUCAAAGUGGAUAGAUAAAGGAAAUAUUAGGAGAGCAGAGAGAGUGGUUCCCCCGAAAACUGGCUGCCAGGGCAACCCGCUUAUCCUCCACCCACAAAUGGCAUUGCUGUGAUUGGCAAAGCGCCACAGCCCGCCAUCAACAGCAGAUCAGAUCAGAUCAGAUGGGAUCACUCUGGUAGCAGGAGCCACUAAUCUGAACACAAUUAGUGGGCUAUAAAUAGCUGCUAUAAGAAGUGGUAGUCCAGUAGUCCAGUAGUCCCAACCGAAGACAAGACGAUGAUGAUGAUGGCGAUGGCGAUGGAAACAAGUUCAUAAAUUGGACAGGUUUUCCAAUAGACAAAUUGAUGUGGCCCGAUAAGGCCGUGGCGAAGCCAUAAUUGAACUGUAAAUGAAGCAACAAAUUACCAUAUUCCAUGGGGAGAGGGACACGCUGUGCCGUCGGGAUCAGGGAUACACAUCUACCGCUAGAAGAGCAACGCUCUCCGGCUCUUCCUUCAACUUGGGAUCUCUUGGCAUUUCAGCAUUAAAAUAAUAUUCAUCGUUAUCGUUAUUAAGUUAUGUUGCUUUCCGCUAAUGCCCAGGAGAGGACAGGAACACUCCACUACACUCCACUCCAUUCCAUUCGGAUGCUGGAUCCCCUCUCCGUCAGUGGCCAACAGUUGGCCAACUAAAUGCGCUAAUCCGCGUGUUGUCAACUUCAUUAGCCGAUAAACACGCCGACACAUUAAAUUGGCAGCAGGCUGCAGGGCCGAGACGCUCAGCAGUUUGGCGGGGAUUAUGGCCGAGGCGAGGAGACUGGACUGCAGACGUCCGGCUGAUUUCUGAUUUCUGCGGCUUCCAUUUGAAGUUGCCAACGAAAAAUUGCUGCCACUUGAAUUUUUAAUGCCCAUAAAGUAUGCAGCGCGGGAUGCACUGCAGCCAGACGGCCAGUUCCACCGGGUUCCAGGCUCCAGGUUCCCGCUUCGAGUCUUUCCUGAUGGCAACGGCAGCCAAAACUCGGCAGAAAACUCCCAAAGAAAGUUCACAUAAAAUACGAUGGCUUAGCUUUUGUCUGGCUCUCUCGAUCCCCCCUUUGCUCGUACUGUUCCCUUUCAGAUCUUCAGAUCUUGAGGUCUUUGGGGCCCGUCGUCAGAUCGGCCAGGGCCAGGGACAGGGCCAGGAACAGGGACAGGGACAUCGGCCCGGAAUGAUUGGAGUGGCUCUGCAGAGGUGUACGGGCCCGGGGGCACACCAUCCGGCCUCGGGGCAAACAAGGAUGCGCCACUAAACAAUAAUUAUGACAACAAUAAAAGCAAGCAAAUCCUUAA